AUGAAAAUCUUGGUUGGAGACGUGGGCAUGGCAGCUUGGUUGGUGGCUGGAAUUUUCUCCUGUCCGUCGCGGGAGGGGACAGCGCACAGCUCGGACGGCGGUUGGUGCACGUGGCCUCCCCCCGCGCGCACGCCCAUUCGUCCACGCCGACGCGACGCAUCCCGGCCGUGCGCUGCCGGAUCGGCCGCCGCGCGCGCGUGGACCGCACCGCAACCGGCGUCGCGUCCACGUCCACGUCCACGACGCCGUUGGUUUUGUUCUGCUUUCCCCUGCUUUCCCCUGCUUGGCUUGGCUUGGGCUGUUCUGUUUCAGUUUGUGCGGUUGGUUGGACUCCCCCUCUCCCCCCACCUCUCGCCGUCGCGCGCCGUUGCCGCGCCCCACGACUUCCGCCCCCUCCACCCACCUCCCCCUACAUAUACGCGCCGGCCACAACCUCGUGCAACACCGCCCACUUUCCCAGCUGCUCCGCCAGCCGCCCGCCGCGCACCUGCUUGCUUUCUUGGUCGGUUGCUGGGGUUCCGGCGCCGCCCGGCUCGAUCCAGGAGCGCACCGCCGGCGGCAGCCCUGUCUUUACUUCCCGGCCCAGCGGCCGCGCCGGAGGCGAGGGGGAUCGGCUACCUCCGCAGCAAUCCAGCUCCCUCCGCGGCGUCCGAUUCCAGGCUUUCAUUUUGUUCUGCGUAUGGUGCGCCGCAACUCCAUCAGCAUGAUCUCUGUGGACAAUGA
rnacentral:rRNA from 1 species